rnacentral:rRNA from 1 species
GACAGAAGACCCUAAGAAUUUUAAAAUUAAUAAGUUUUUAUAAAACCCAUUAUUGAUUUUUAGUUGGGGCAACUAAAAAAUAUUAUAAACUUUUUUUUUUAAAUAAAAUGACCCAUUAUUAAUGAUUAUUUGGAAAAAUACUCUAGGGAUAACAGCGUAAUAAUUUUUGAUAGAACAUAUAGACAAAAUAGUUUGCGACCUCGAUGUUGGAUUAGGAUUCUUUUUUAAUGAAGAUGUUAAAAAAAGAAGUUUGUUCAACUUUUAAAGUCCUACUUGAUCUGAGUUCAGACG